GGGGGCGUGGUGAAGUCUGGAGUUCACGCCUGCCUGUCACGCAGGAGGUCGCGGGUUCGAAUCCCGUCGUCCCCGCAA
rnacentral:tRNA from 3 species